rnacentral:rRNA from 1 species
GGGGAUAGCCUUUCGAAAGAAAGAUUAAUACCCGAUGUCAUAGUCCUACCGCAUGAUGGGAUUAUUAAAGAAUUUCGGUAUGGGAUGGGGAUGCGUUCCAUCAGUUAGUUGGCGGGGUAACGGCCCACCAAGACAACGAUGGAUAGGGGUUCUGAGAGGAAGGUCCCCCACAUUGGAACUGAGACACGGUCCAAACUCCUACGGGAGGCAGCAGUGAGGAAUAUUGGUCAAUGGACGAGAGUCUGAACCAGCCAAGUAGCGUGAAGGAUGACUGCCCUAUGGGUUGUAAACUUCUUUUAUAUGGGAAUAAAAUGUUCCACGUGUGGGAUUUUGUAUGUACCAUAUGAAUAAGGAUCGGCUAACUCCGUGCCAGCAGCCGCGGUAAUACGGAGGAUUCGAGCGUUAUCCGGAUUUAUUGGGUUUAAAGGGAGCGUAGGUGGAUUGUUAAGUCAGUUGUGAAAGUUUGCGGCUCAACCGUAAAAUUGCAGUUGAAACUGGCAGUCUUGAGUACAGUAGAGGUGGGCGGAAUUCGUGGUGUAGCGGUGAAAUGCUUAGAUAUCACGAAGAACUCCGAUUGCGAAGGCAGCUCACUGGACUGCAACUGACACUGAGGCUCGAAAGUGUGGGUAUCAAACAGGAUUAGAUACCCUGGUAGUCCACACAGUAAACG